AAGGAGGUGAUGUACAGGUGCGGCUAAUUUAUGGGAUGCUCUUUUCUAUUCUCUCAUUUUUCAGCAAGAUGUCCCUGUUACACAUAAGGGAAGGCUUCCUGACCUUCCAAACUUGCUGUUACAAAUUCUAUUAUGAACAAGACACUUACUGAAAUCAAGAUUGUCAUGAACAGUGACUUCUGAGUUGAACAUCUGACAUGUGCUGCCCAUCUACAGUGUGCUGAAGGUGCAGCUGGUGGGGAAAAAGCCCAGUGCCCUUUAAGCCAAACUGGGCUAAGUGACCCUUUUCAUUCUUGAUUGCAGUCUGCAUUCCUGUAUCUGCUCUGUGCCCUUUGCUCUGCUUGGCCUGGCUGAAGGAAGCACCUCUACUCCACCACCAUCUGGGCCUUUCCUAAACCUUGUCACCUGAGAGCCAUUCUCAACCUGCAGAACUUCCAGGACAACACUUUAACUUGAUUACUUCCCCAACCUAUGCCCUCCAGCCACCAGAAAGAAGCCUUCAGGAGUCCCUACAGCACCCACGCAGGCCCUCUCCAGUUUUCCCCCUCCCUUCCUGAUGCUGUGAAAACCACAGAAUAAAUGUUUAUCACUUUCAAAAAUAUUAUAUAUAUAUAUAAUAUAAAUGAAUUUUUCUUUUUACUGCACAUAAUAUAGUACCCUGU
rnacentral:lncRNA from 10 species